UGGGAGGGUGAUACUUGGACAGGCCUGAGCGGUGUCCUCUCCACCACUACGCCUCCCUACAGUAUUCCUGCUCUCUGUUGACUGGGGCGACGUGAGGGUAAUCGCCACAGACAGAUACGGGGCAGACACCC